rnacentral:rRNA from 1 species
UUGGACCUGAUAUCAGCAAGAUUAC